GGUCUCAUGGUGUAACGGUUAGCACUCUGGACUUUGAAUCCAGCAAUCCGAGUCCAAAUCUCGGUGAGACCU
rfam:Ixodes scapularis strain Wikel colony gcontig_1108379338190, whole genome shotgun sequence.